CCUACGGGUGGCAGCAGUAGGGAAUAUUGCUCAAUGGGGGAAACCCUGAAGCAGCAACGCCGCGUGGAGGAUGAAGGUUUUAGGAUUGUAAACUCCUUUUGUGAGAGAAGUUAAUGACGGUAUCUCUCGAAUAAGCACCGGCGAACUCCGUUCCAGCAGCCGCGGUAAUACGGAGGGUGCAAGCGUUACGCGGAAUGACGGGGCGUAAAGAGUGCGCAGGCGGGCUUGGAAGUCAGAUGUGAAAUCCUGUAGCUUAACUACAGAACUGCAUUUGAAACUAUGAGUCUAGAGUGUGGGAGAGGUAGGUGGAAUUCGUGGUGUAGGGGUAAAAUCCGUAGAUAUCAAGAAGAAUACUCAUUGCGAAGGCGACCUACUGGAACAUUACUGACGCUCAUGCACGAAGGCGUGGGGAGCAAACAGGAUUAGAUACCCGUGUAGUC
rnacentral:rRNA from 1 species